GACGAACGCUGGCGGCGUGCUUAACACAUGCAAGUCGAACGGAAAGGCCCUGCUUUUGUGGGGUGCUCGAGUGGCGAACGGGUGAGUAACACGUGAGUAACCUGCCCUUGACUUUGGGAUAACUUCAGGAAACUGGGGCUAAUACCGGAUAGGAGCCCCUGCUGCAUGGUGGGGGUUGGAAAGUUUCGGCGGGCGGGGAUGGACGCGCGGCUUAUCAGCUUGUUGGUGGGGUAGUGGCUUACCAAGGCUUUGACGGGUAGCCGGCCUGGGAGGGUGACCGGCCACAUUGGGACUAAGAUACGGCCCAGACUCCUACGGGAGGCAGCAGUGGGGAAUAUUGCACAAUGGGCGGAAGCCUGAUGCAGCAACGCCGCGUGCGGGAUGACGGCCUUCGGGUUGUAAACCGCUUUCGCCUGUGACGAAGCGUGAGUGACGGUAAUGGGUAAAGAAGCACCGGCUAACUACGUG
rnacentral:rRNA from 1 species